GACGAACGCUGGCGGCGUGCCUAAUACAUGCAAGUUGAGCGCUGAAGGUUGGUACUUGUACCAACUGGAUGAGCAGCGAACGGGUGAGUAACGCGUGGGGAAUCUGCCUUUGAGCAGGGGACAACAUUUGGAAACGAAUGCUAAUACCGCAUAAAAACUUUAAACACAAGUUUUAAGUUUGAAAGAUGCAAUUGCAUCACUCAAAGAUGAUCCCGCGUUGUAUUAGCUAGUUGGUGAGGUAAAGGCUCACCAAGGCGAUGAUACAUAGCCGACCUGAGAGGGUGAUCGGCCACAUUGGGACUGAGACACGGCCCAAACUCCUACGGGAGGCAGCAGUAGGGAAUCUUCGGCAAUGGACGAAAGUCUGACCGAGAAACGCCGCGUGAGUGAAGAAGGUUUUCGGAUCGUAAAACUCUGUUGGUAGAGAAGAACGUUGGUGAGAGUGGAAAGCUCACCAAGUGACGGUAACUACCCAGAAAGGGACGGCUAACUACGUG
rnacentral:rRNA from 1 species